rnacentral:rRNA from 1 species
ACCAAACCUAGCCCAUUAACCCAACCCAUCUAAACGACUAAGAGUCAAUUAAACAAAACAUUUACCCACUGCUCUAAAGUAUAGGAGAUAGAAAUUCUAAAUCGGCGCUAUAGAGGGAGUACCGUAAGGGAACGAUGAAAGAAAAAACUUAAAGUACAAAAAAGCAAAGAUUAACCCUUGUACCUUUUGCAUAAUGAAUUAACUAGUAACAACUUAACAAAAUGAAUUUCAGCUAAGUAACCCGAAACCAGACGAGCUAUUUAUGAACAGUUUAUCAAGAACCAACUCAUCUGUGUGGCAAAACAGUGAGAAGAUUUAUAAAUAGAGGUGAAACGCCUAACGAGCCUGGUGAUAGCUGGUUGUCCAGAAAACGAAUCUUAGUUCGGCUUUAAAAAUACCAAAAAAUCUCCAUAAAUCCAACUGUAUUUUUAAAAGUUAGUCUAAAAGGGUACAGCCUUUUAGAAAUGGGUACAACCUUAACUAGAGAGUAAGACCUAAAAAUAUCCUAGUUGGCCUAAAAGCAGCCACCAAUUAAGAAAGCGUUAAAGCUCAACAUAAAAAUAACCCUAAUCCCAACAAUAAUCAACCAACUCCUAGCCCCAAUACUGGACCAAUCUAUUUUACAAUAGAAGAAAUAAUGUUAGUAUGAGUAACAAGAAGCACCUUCUCCUUGCAUAAGUUUAAGUCAGUAUCUGAUACUACUCUGACUGUUAACAGCUAAUAAAAACAACCCAACAAUAGACAAUUUAUUUAAUAUACUGUUGACCCAACACAGGGAUGCAUUCAAGGAAAGAUUAAAAGAAGUAAAAGGAACUCGGCAAACACAAACCCCGCCUGUUUACCAAAAACAUCACCUCCAGCAUACCCAGUAUUGGAGGCACUGCCUGCCCAGUGACACUAGUUCAACGGCCGCGGUAUCCUGACCGUGCAAAGGUAGCAUAAUCAUUUGUUCUCUAAAUAAGGACUUGCAUGAAUGGCCACACGAGGGUUUAACUGUCUCUUACUUCCAAUCAGUGAAAUUGACCUUCCCGUGAAGAGGCGGGAAUGAACUAAUAAGACGAGAAGACCCUAUGGAGCUUUAACUAACUAGCCCAAAGACAAACCAAACCUAACCACCAAGGGAUAACAAUGCUCUCCAUGGACUAGCAGUUUCGGUUGGGGUGACCUCGGAGAACAAAAAAUCCUCCGAACGAUUUUAAAGACAAGACUUACAAGUCAAAUUAUGAUAUCGCUUAUUGACCCAAAAAAUUGAUCAACGGAACAAGUUACCCUAGGGAUAACAGCGCAAUCCUGUUCAAGAGUCCAUAUCGACAACAGGGUUUACGACCUCGAUGUUGGAUCAGGACAUCCCGAUGGUGCAACCGCUAUCAAAGGUUCGUUUGUUCAACGAUUAAAGUCCUACGUGAUCUGAGUUCAGACCGGAGUAAUCCAGGUCGGUUUCUAUCUAUUAUGUAUUUCUCCCAGUACGAAAGGACAAGAGAAAUGAGGCCAACUUCAAAAAAGCGCCUUAAACCAAUUAAUGAUAUUAUCUUAAUUAACUCCACAAACAAAACAUGCCCUAGAAAGGGGCCCA